UGGAGAAGCAGGGCACGUGCAUUACUAACUCAUCUCUCAGUGCCUAUUCUGGCUACGGGCCGGAGUCAGUUAUUUCAUGUGUCCUCCUUCCCCA
rnacentral:pre_miRNA from 1 species